GGAGGCGACCGACUCGGACGGAGAGGUGGACGAUGACGAGGGAGGAAGACCUUGGCAUUGAUGGUGAAGUUGACGAAGAUGAAGUAGAGGCUGUCCAAGGAGAAAAGAGAAAGCAAGAGCCUGACGACGAUGAUGAG